rnacentral:rRNA from 1 species
UACGUAGGGUGCGAGCGUUGUCCGGAUUUAUUGGGCGUAAAGAGCUCGUAGGCGGCUCGUCGCGUCGACCGUGAAAACCCGCAGCUUAACUGCGGGCUUGCGGUUGAUACGGGCGGGCUAGAGUUCGGUAGGGGAGACUGGAAUUCCUGGUGUAGCGGUGAAAUGCGCAGAUAUCAGGAAGAACACCUAUGGCGAAGGCAGCUCUCUGGGACGGUACUGACGCUGAGACGCGAAAGCGUGGGGAGCGAACAGG